GUUUGAGUAGCUCAGUUUGGUUAGAGCAUAGGAUUGAAAAUCCUUGAGUCAUCAGUUCAAAUCUGGUUUCAAACG
rnacentral:tRNA from 1 species